rnacentral:rRNA from 1 species
GGGCCUGCACAAGCGGUGGAGCAUGUGGUUUAAUUCGAAGAUACGCGCAGAACCUUACCAACACUUGACAUGUUCGUCGCGACUCUAAGAGAUUAGAGUUUUCGGUUCGGCCGGACGAAACACAGGUGCUGCAUGGCUGUCGUCAGCUCGUGUCGUGAGAUGUUGGUUAAGUCCCGCAACGAGCGCAACCCUCACUUUUAGUUGCCAUCAUUAAGUUGGGCACUCUGAAAGAACUGCCAGUGAUAAGCUGGAGGAAGGUGGGGAUGACGUCAAGUCCUCAUGGCCCUUACGUGUUGGGCUACACACGUGCUACAAUGGUAUCUACAACAGGAAGCAAAACGGCAACGUUAAGCAAAAA